AUCUGGGUGGCUCAGUGGAUAGAGCACCAGGCCUGGAAUCAGGAAGUCUUUGGUUCAAAUCUGGCCUCAGACA
rfam:Monodelphis domestica chromosome 1, whole genome shotgun sequence.